rnacentral:rRNA from 1 species
UACGUAGGUGGCAAGCAUUGUCCGGAAUUUAUUGGGCGUAAAGCGCGCGCAGGCGGCUUCUUAAGUCUGAUGUGAAAUCUCGGGGCUCAACCCCGAGCGGCCAUUGGAAACUGGGAGCUUGAGUACAGAAGAGGAGAGUGGAAUUCCACGUGUAGCGGUGAAAUGCGUAGAUAUGUGGAGGAACACCAGUGGCGAAGGCGACUCUCUGGUCUGUAACUGACGCUGAGGCGCGAAAGCGUGGGGAGCAAACAGG